rnacentral:misc_RNA from 1 species
UCUCAAGAAAACGCCGUACUGUCCCUGAACAAAAGAAACUAACAGAUCAACCUGACAGCUGAGAAUGACUUAAUUGCAUACAGGCAUCAACACAACCAUUAUGAUAAGCAGCUACACAUUAUAGCUAUUUCAUCCAAAAAACGUUAGCUUCUCUUGUAAUUAAAAAUGGAUGGGAAAUUAACUUCCCAAGGAAUAUGGAAACAUUCUCUUGGCAUAUUACAGAACAUAUAACAUGUCAGGAUCAUAGUUGUCAAAUGGAAACUCAAAUCAAGAAUCAAAGUCCUCAUUUUGUAAAUAAAAAUUUCGUAUAAUUCUCAAAAUGAAAUUAGAAACAAUAUAUAUCCAUAUAAAACAAAUAAAUGCAUCAAACUUGACAAAUAUGAGUGAUCUGUGGACAAAUGGAAACGCAUUUACCUUUAAAGCAAGAAACGUGUGCCAAGACCCGUCAUUACCAACUCUAAAAUAUAAAAUGCAAAGAUAAAUUUAAGAAGCAUUGAAAGGUACAUUUCAUAUUAAUUUGAUAAAAGAUAUUUGAUAUUGAUGUUUCAUAUCGUGUAACCAUAUGCAAAAAAGAUUAAAAGCCUAUGUAUACUCCUCAUUUUUUUAAAUUUGAACUCUAUCUUUCAUUAAGCCUUAGUUUUCAAUACCUUGAGAAGUCAUUUAAAAAAAAUGAAUAAAUAAUUUCAGCUCAGGUUACUUGGAGGAGUCUUUCACAAUAGAACUUGAAAGAAACACGUUAAAUAGUUUUGAACCCAUUGGGUCUAAUGCGCAUUUGGGUUUACUUGAUGAGGAAAGGAAAGAAUUAACAGAAUUAAUUGAUUCAACAGAUUCACAUUCAACUCACUUGAUUCAUGUAUAUUUGUGAUUCAACUGAUAGACUUUUAUAGCUAGGAAUAGGAAUCAACUUGAAUCAUACAACUUGAAUAAAGAACAGAAAAAUUUUAACAAAACUAGUCAAGAGAACUAAACCAAGAACAAUAACAUGUGGGGGGGAGAAAAAUCUCACUUAUAGCCACAUGUGCAGCUGGU